AAAGGCCGGGCGCCACCCCAGGCGUCCCUAGCCCGUCAGGCUCCCCUCCGCAGCCACUCCCUUCCAGCCAUUUCUCAGAGUCGGCCCCCUCGCUGCCCAUUAACCCGUCUGAUAGCUCUGUCAGCCGCUGAUGGAGAUGAGAGAGCCUGGGCCGUUUCCAAAAAUGCCCGGCUCUGUUUCACCGACGCUGUCCCCCUCAGCGAGCAGCGGCAGGGUGGGGGCUCCGGGCUAGAAGGAGGCGUAGCCAGCCAACUUGGGCCUCAAAUGCCCAGGGUUAUAGUCUAAUGCAAAUAGAAGGUCACUCCUCAAAAAGAGGCAAAGCCGGGCAGCUUCGGCAAGGGUCCCAGAAAGCAAAGAGAAAGGGCCGCCCUUAUCUCGUUCCUGGGGAGAGAACAGUUCCUGACUAUGACAUCAGGAAUGGGUGGUUCUAAAGAAGGUCAUGGAAAAACCAUCUGUGAUGGAUAGAGGCCGCGGGAGUGGGGGCCUCUUAGAAGGAAGAAAGACGAAAAGAACAUACCUAAAGUCUCCUAAACACUGAUCUAGCAUGCAUCAACCUCAUCAUCAAUGUGGACAUCUCUGGAAAGUAUAUUGCCAAUAAAUGGCUCCCAUCAGGUGUCCAGUCACCAAAAUCAGGAUCCAGCUUCAGAUGGUUAGUAUCUGUGUGCCACCCAUAUUUCAAGCAUCACUAAUACAGCUGUUGGCAUGACUAAAAUCUAGCUUUGGGAACUCGGGUUCAAAACCUGUCUUACCAACUCUUCUCAUAAAUGAGAUCAGCAACCUUUUCUCCACAUCCCCUCACACCAUUCCCAAUCUCUCAUUCAUCAUCCUAAUUCAGACCAUCACCUUUUCAUAUUUCAUCUCCUUCAUUUUAAUCCCCACACCAUUCUCUUC